rnacentral:rRNA from 1 species
GUCGUAACAAGGUCUCCGUAGGAGAACCUGCGGAGGGAUCAUUACACAAAUAUGAAGGCGGGCUGGAACCUCUCGGGGUUACAGCCUUGCUGAAUUAUUCACCCUUGUCUUUUGCGUACUUCUUGUUUCCUUGGUGGGUUCGCCCACCACUAGGACAAACAUAAACCUUUUGUAAUUGCAAUCAGCGUCAGUAACAAAUUAAUAAUUACAACUUUCAACAACGGAUCUCUUGGUUCUGGCAUCGAUGAAGAACGCAGCGAAAUGCGAUAAGUAGUGUGAAUUGCAGAAUUCAGUGAAUCAUCGAAUCUUUGAACGCACAUUGCGCCCUUUGGUAUUCCAAAGGGCAUGCCUGUUCGAGCGUCAUUUGUACCCUCAAGCUUUGCUUGGUGUUGGGCGUCUUGUCUCUAGCUUUGCUGGAGACUCGCCUUAAAGUAAUUGGCAGCCGGCCUACUGGUUUCGGAGCGCAGCACAAGUCGCACUCUCUAUCAGCAAAGGUCUAGCAUCCAUUAAGCCUUUUUUUCAACUUUUGACCUCGGAUCAGGUAGGGAUACCCGCUGAACUUAAGCAUAUCA